UCGGAAUUACUGGGCGUAAAGCGCACGCAGGCGGUCUGUUAAGCUAGAUGUGAAAGCCCCGCGCUCAACGUGGGAGGGUCAUUUAGAACUGGCAGACUAGAGUCUUGGAGAGGGGAGUGGAAUUCCAGGUGUAGCGGUGAAAUGCGUAGAGAUCUGGAGGAACAUCAAUGGCGAAGGCAACUCCCUGGCCAAAGACUGACGCUCAUGUGCGAAAGUGUGGGUAGCGAACAGGAUUAGAUACCCUGGUAGUCCACACCGUAAACGCUGUCUACUAGCUGUUUGUGAAUUUAAUUCGUGAGUAGCGAAGCUAACGCGAUAAGUAGACCGCCUGGGGAGUACGGCCGCAAGGUUAAAACUCAAAGGAAUUGACGGGGGCCCGCACAAGCGGCGGAGCAUGCGGCUUAAUUCGAUGCAACGCGAAGAACCUUACCUAGGCUUGACAGUUGGGGAAAUCUGGCAGAGAUGCCAAGUCCGUAAGGGCCCCAAAACAGGUGGUGCAUGGCU
rnacentral:rRNA from 1 species